rnacentral:rRNA from 1 species
UGGGGAUGACGUCAAAUCAUCAUGCCCCUUAUGACCUGGGCUACACACGUGCUACAAUGGGCGGUACAAAGGGUCGCGAACCCGCGAGGGGGAGCCAAUCCCAAAAAGCCGCUCUCAGUUCGGAUUGCAGGCUGCAACUCGCCUGCAUGAAGCCGGAAUCGCUAGUAAUCGCGGAUCAGCAUGCCGCGGUGAAUACGUUCCCGGGCCGUU